CUUAGCCUACGGGGGGCAGCAGUGAGGAAUAUUGGUCAAUGGUCGGGAGACUGAACCAGCCAAGCCGCGUGAGGGAUGAAGGUACAGAGUAUCGUAAACCUCUUUUGUCAGGGAACAAAGGCGGGGACGCGUCCCCGGAUGAGUGUACCUGAAGAAAAAGCAUCGGCUAACUCCGUGCCAGCAGCCGCGGUAAUACGGAGGAUGCGAGCGUUAUCCGGAUUUAUUGGGUUUAAAGGGUGCGCAGGCGGUCUGUUAAGUCAGCGGUCAAAUGUCGGGGCUCAACACCGGCCUGCCGUUGAAACUGG
rnacentral:rRNA from 1 species